GACGAACGCUGGCGGCGCGCUUAACACAUGCAAGUCGAGCGAAGCAGCGGCAGGGUGAUUAACACGUGAGUAACCUGCCUUAGACAUGGGGAUAGCCUCGGGAAACCGGGAUUAUUCCAAAAUGGUCUAAAAUGGACUCGCGUCCCAUUAGUUAGUUGGUGAGGUAACGGCCAACCAAGGCGACUAUGGGUAGCCGGCCGUGGAGGGUGAACGGCCACAUUGGAACUGAGAAACGGUCCAAACUCUACGGGAGGCAGCAGUGGGGAAUAUUGCACAAUGGAGGGAACUCUGAUGCAGCGAGGCCGCGUGAACGAAGAAGGCUUUCGAGUCGUAAAGUUCUUUUAUAUGGGAAGCGGUACCAUAAGAAAAAGCCCCGGCUAACUACGUGCCAGCAGCCGCGGUAAUUC
rnacentral:rRNA from 1 species